AUGGGGAUCAACAGGACUUCCCCCGAUACCCGCACAGCCAGCCCCAUCUCUCAUAGGCUGCAGGAGCCUUUCCCUCCUGCCAGGCCAAAUCAUAGCUCCCUGCUGUUUCCCGGCAAUUCGGACUGCUUGUAGGAAGGGCAUUGCUCGCUGCAGUUCUGCCCCUGAGCAGCUUCGCAACUUGGAGCCUCUUCUUAGCCAGAGUACCUUCUUGGCUAGCAGAGAAAGAGAUCGGGAAGCACAGCGGAGGAUUUUCCACAAACUCUUUAUUUCAUCUAUGAAGGGGUCUCAGGACAGCAAAUCCAAUGGGUAGGGUCUUAAGGGGAUUUUUGUAGGGUUAGGGUGUCUUGGAAAUGGACCAAUAAUAUAGGGGAUUCUAUUAUUAACCAAUCUACAAGAGAUAUUAGGU